AAGAUGCCAACUGAACUGUCCCUCCGGGCUCAGACUCCCCUAAGAGCACUCUGCGGAUUCAUAAUAAAAAGUGCUACCUCCUUAAUUUAGCACGAAGGCUUAAUCAUGCUCCGUGUUGUUUUUAUUUUUUAGCUUACUUGGUACUUCAUCUUCCCUCAAGUACAUAAAGAAAAGCUUCAGUUUCCCACAGUCUCCAUAUCGGGCCUCUUCUUUUUUGCACGGAUUUGUAUCCUGCCCAGCCGGCCUCUUUCUUCAGUCUGAUUUCUUCUUGCUCCUGCUGAAAGUGAUGAUCACACAAGAGCAAUGACGGUAAAGCAACUGGUGCCUCAGCGUGAAUCAAGACACCAAAAUGUCCUGGCAGUCAUUAUACUUGAUGAAGCAGUAGCAAUAAAAGUGUUAAUUCAAUUAAACCUCAAGUCAUGAAUAUACAGCUUUAUGAUAGUCUGUGUGACAAAAUAUUAAUAGAAAGUGUACAUAAAGCACUUCUGAUAUCUGAUGGUUGUCUCCGAGAGGAGGGGGGAACACUUGAGAGGUUGUUUGCAUUAAAAGCUACACCAGCUGUUUUGGGUUUUACUGUUU